CGUAGGGUGCAAGCGUUGUCCGGAAUUAUUGGGCGUAAAGAGCUCGUAGGCGGUCUGUUGCGUCGGCUGUGAAAACCCGGGGCUCAACUCCGGGCCUGCAGCCGAUACGGGCAGACUAGAGUUCGGCAGGGGAGACUGGAAUUCCUGGUGUAGCGGUGAAAUGCGCGGAUAUCAGGAGGAACACCGGUGGCGAAGGCGGGUCUCUGGGCCGAUACUGACGCUGAGGAGCGAAAGCGUGGGGAGCGAACAGGAUUAGAUACCCUGGUAGUCCACGCCGUAAACGUUGGGCGCUAGGUGUGGGUUCCCUUCCACGGGAUCCGUGCCGCAGCUAACGCAUUAAGCGCCCCGCCUGGGGAGUACGGCCGCAAGGCUA
rnacentral:rRNA from 1 species